rnacentral:lncRNA from 1 species
ACUACCCUCCAGAUCAAUGGAAGCUCCCAAUGGUGGAGUUUAAUGUCCACAGCCUUCAGCAACUACUAGCGACCUGCCAAGCACACAGGCCGAGGAAAACAUAUUCUGUUUAAAAAUCUGGCUUAUGUCAUUGUAUCCAGAACUACUAGAAUAAAAUGUUUACUUCCACUUGACCUGUUCCUCUGUCACUCGAGUGUGAUGAAAACGGAGAUGAAACCCGGAACUGGCUGUGAGUGGAGUGCUGGAUUUGAUAGCUUCACACCAGGCUAGGUUUUGCUUUCUCCACAAGCUGGCUCCAGAGCAAGUCUCACGAGAGACAGUGCUUCCCAAAUAAAUUGGGAAGUGAAGGAGAAGGACAAAAAUGAUCAACCGGUGGGAGCUUAUCCUAGGCUAUGCACGUUGCUAAGUAUUAUUUGUGUAUAUCCCCCUAAUUGUUACAAAGACACCAACAAAGAGGGACUGUUGCCAGAACACCACUAAAGAAAACCUAAAACAGGAAACAUUAAGGAACAAGUCCAAAGUCACUCACCUGGUGACUGUGUGUAAGCAAGCACACUCCGUAAGUUGACAAGAGUCAAGUUAAUUUGUCACUCUAGCUUCAAAUGCUCCUUUGCUGCAUAGCAAAAGCAAAACCUACCAUGCUUGAUGUCUGAUAAGACGGACGGAGCCACCAUCGUAAUCACAGGAAUGAAUGUAAGCGUGGCUUCCUUCACCACUGUCCUGAACCCAGAAGAGCCGUUUGUCCAGGACAUCAAGAGUCAGCACUGAUAUCCCCCCUGUCUCCAGCAGUGUUUUUACAUCAACACCUUUGAGGUGUGCUCUGUGAAGGCUGCCGGUCACCUCUGAAGACCAAAACAUCAACCUGGAGAUGAACAUAUCACACACAACCAUAACUGAAUGAACAGCCGCUGAAGUGGGGGCUCUCGGGGCUCCCACCUCUGGUGUCUGCCUCGGGGAGUCUGACUGCUUUGAAUGGGAAUUCAAUUGUGUGUAUGUAUCUCCUACUGGAAAUGCCGUGUGAUUUCAAGUGUGAAGGAAAACUAAGCUUUUAUAGAAGAACAUCAGGCAGGGAGAACUACCUAGUGUCUCCUAAUCCAGCCACUUGUUUUGGGGGGAAAUGGUGCCUGUGUAUUGUCAAAGAAGACCUGCAUCUCACUCAGGAGUCCUUUCAAGUAACACAAUGUACUAAUCUUGGUGAGAUUUGAAGCUCAUUUCAAUCUCCUUUAAAACAAAACAAAACAGAUUUUUACCUCUCUAUUGGAUCCACUGCUAUAUUUGACGGGUGCUUUAAGGAACUUAGAAGAACUCGGGAAUUUUUCCCUGUCAUAUCUGUUACGGUGAUGACUCCGUUCUGUUGGUCUACCCAGAGAACUUCAUCAUCUAUCCAGUUUAUGGCCAGCCCAGACAUCUUCUGCUCUACAUUGCACACUUUCUGCAAAACCAAAUUUAAACAUUAAGAAUAUUUCCAAUUUACAAUGAAAUUGCUACUUUAUCACACAUUGAAAGUCUGUCAUCUUAGCAUUUGCCAUUUUAAUGUGUUCUCUGCAUCUUUUAAAUGAUGAAAUGGUCACAUUUUCGAUUCAGCAACAGUACACCCCUCCUUGUGAAUAGGCUUUCUGUAUCAUAGCUUUGGAACCCCAAACUAUCCUAUAUACUAUUGAAAUCAGAAUCAGCCACGAUAAAAUUUUCACAGAUUUAUUUUAAUGCUUAAAAUAGUUCUUUUAAAUUCCAUUUGUUGAUGGAAUCCUAACAUGAAUUCAAUUUUAGGUCUUUCCAAACUCUGGUAAAAUUCCACUGUGGUUUGAGCAGGGAUAUAGAGUGGAUGUCUCACCUGCCCCCCUUUUAAAGAGGAUUUCAAGUACUCCAGGCUGGCCUCGAACUGUUUAAGUUUGAGGAUGGCUUUGAUGUCCGGAUCCUCCUGCCUCUGUCUCUUGAGUGCUGCGAUUACAGGCCUACCCAGGGUUUUAUGUGUGCCAGGCAAACAUUCUAGUGACUGAGCUAUAGCCACCACCUCUGCCCACUCUUCUACCAUCAAGACCCUUUCUUCUUCCAGGUCUCAAUGACACCAGAGAAGCAGUGUUUCUCUUUACAUGUCUCAGGCUGUCCCUUGCCUGUUCUUGAAAGAACCAAACCAAAGAAUCUGUAUUCUUGAGUCCAACCUGAGCAAAUCAAUUAGUCCUCUUGGGGCUUGGGUUGACAAGGCAGGAGGAAGCUGUGGUUUCUACACUCACAGGUUCCUGUGGUGUCUUAACCCUACCACUGUGGCUCCCACUCCCUUUAGGAUGGUGGUGAGUCUGGAGCCGGGUAGUGACAGCUCAGACUCAGAGCUGUGCUAGAUCUUUUGCAGAGCUGUCCGGCCGAAACCUUAAACAAUUCUGUGUUCCCUCAUUAGCUCUUCCCUUUAAAUUGCUUUCACGUUCAGUGUGAACAGCUCAGCGUGUGCUCUUUUUCAAGUUUUAAGGACGGAAGGGGUGAUGGUGGUGUACUGCUGAGUUAUUAGGCACCAGGCCAACCCUUUCCUAAGGACUCGACAUAAAUCCACAACUGCUUAUUCUCUUUUCCUUGGUUGGUGACAGGGAGUCUCCAAAUUCUCAGAUUUCCAUGCCGUUCUAGCAGAUGUCUGGAGAGUAUGGAACAGGCAAACUUGUUAAAGUGAGGCUAGCCAGUAUUAGAGAUGCGCUAAAGCAGAUUAGCACCUAAUUGAAGCUUUUAGAAAUAAUUGGAAGGAGAGAGGUUUAGUUUGAAGGGGGGGAGAGGUGAUCCAAACACUGAGCACUGUGUGUUGGGAAUAAAUGCUUGAGGGUUCCGUUAAUCACCUGCUCUCUGUAAUCCAUCCCUGGGACAUUCCUCCUGGGACUCACUGCUGAGUUCUACCAGUUGAAGAGAAAGAUUAAGGGUCUUUUGUAUGUACUUGAAAUACAACACUUUUUAUCUGUCCUUCAUUUUUUUUUCCCUAGAGUACAAAUACUUUGAGAAUACAAAGCCAACUUUUUUUUCAUUACUGUCAGGUAUUUCCUCUGCUACAUGAGAAGAAAAAUGUAUACAGAUAAAACAGACUUUCUUGACUAAGGCACUAUCAACUCGAGGUUAGACAGUGCUUCACUAUGGGGGCCAGUGCUUCACCACGGGGCAGCCCAGGAUGUUGAUUGGCAACCUUCCUUGCCCUGGGCCCACUGGAUACCCGUAGCAUCUUCAUCCUCUUAUUGUAGUUACUUGUGACAACCAAAAAGGACAGCUGUCAAAUAUUCAUAGAGGGACAAAACCAUCUGAGGUACAAAAUGCAAAUUUACGUCUUCAUGGCGACCAACUUAACAAAAUCAGAUGUUUUCAAAAUUAUAUUCAUUUUCUCAUGUCCUUCUGUUGAGGCUGACAAAUGUUGAUUUGCACACUGUAUCAGUGGUGCAGCACCACAGGUGCAUAUUAAAUGCCUGCAGUUAACACCUGCACCUUUGAACCGUGCUGGAUUCUCACGUAUCUCCCUGUCCAAGUACUAGGUGCUGGUUAGCUUCUGAGAUCAGGCCCAUUCAGAGAACUCUGACCUUACACAAAUUAUCUACACAUUAGAAACUCAGGAUGCCACAUUUGUCAGAUUUUGUAUAAAUUCUUCACAUACCGUGGGGAGGAAUAAUGGUACUUUACCUCUAGUCCUGUCCCGUUAAGGAAAACUCUUAGCAAAAGUUGUCUUUCUACAUCUACCCAAUAGAUUCUCUGUUUUUCAUAAUGAAUAUCCAUGUCCACUGAGAUGCCAGCAUCCACCACCAAUUGUUGGUGAUUUGUUCCAUCUGGGUCAAUCCGAGAGAUGCUCUUUCCUUGGGAGAAAACUAGGAAGGGGGCAGGACCUGAUGGGGGAGGAGAGAAAGAAACCAACGUAUAGGUUUUCAGUGAUAUUUAAUCUGUUCCACAUAAAAUACUUCCCAUGACAAUCAAUAUAUGUAGAAGUGACUUAAAUUUUUAGUCUUAUAUUUUAAAUAAAAACUCUUCCGUGC